rnacentral:lncRNA from 1 species
AUAUUUUAAGAUUUAAGUUGAAUUAGAAUUUUGAAAUUUCAUCACAAAUCAUUUAAUUUCAUAAAAAAGAAUACAAAAAAAAUUAAAAAAAAAGGAAAAAGCCCGGAACCGCCGGUUUUCGGCCCGGCCCGGAACCGCCGGUUCAGGGUCAGAAAACCGGCCCUUUACAUUUCAUCUGGGCCGGUUCAGGUUCGCCGGAUUCUCGACCCUGAACCGCCGGUUCGGGCCCGGAACC